CCCGGAACCCGCCUCUCGCCAGUCCGCUCGGAGAGGCUCAGCGUCUGGCAGUCCGCAGUGAGAGUGAGAGAGAGAGAGAGAGAGUCACCAUCAUGUGGUUCCUGCUUUUAAACUUUCUGGCCGUCCUCUCCUUGGUGGCUUCUGAACACCACAUAGACUGCGGAGAGCCCGGGCACGUCGACCACGCCCACGUGAACUACCUGACCAAGGCGAAGGAGACGACCGUGGGCGCCGUGAUCCAGUUCGUGUGCGACGCGCCUCUCUGGGUCCUGAAAGAACAAGAGCACGA